rnacentral:lncRNA from 1 species
GGCCACACAGAUCUCAAGGAACUUGAUGUGAGCACGAACAUGCUGCAGAGGGUUGGAGCUCGGUGCUUUGCGCGGGCAGUCGCAGAUAAACCAGCUUUUGUGCAACUGAACAUCAAUGGAAAUUUCAUCUCCGAUGAAGGGAUUGAUGAGGUGAAGGAAAUUCUGAAGGCUGGUAAGAAAUCCCUGGAUGUUCUGGGCUCACUAGAUGAGAAUGAACCUGACGGGGAGCCUGAUGAUGAGGAAGAGGACGAGGAUGCUGAGGACAAUGAGGACGAGCUGGAUUUGAAGCUACAGAGCGUGAAGGUUGAGCAGGAUGAUUGACCAAGUUGGUUUUAAGGUAUAAGUGCUGUUGAUCCUUGGUUCCUUAGUCAGUUUUUGUUAUGUAAAACCAUUGCAAUCUGAUUAUAGAUUAGAACUUCACUUAUUUAUUCUGUUAUAUUCAGGUCAUUGCUCCAUUAUAAUUGGUCUGAUUUAUAGAUGAUACCUAUUUUCUCAACAAGUCUUUUUGGGUAACUGUUCGCUGGUAGUUGACCUACUACUGCUCGCUGGUAGUCUUUAUUACACAAGAUUUUUUUUUUUUUGGGGGGGGGGGGAGGGGGGGGGGCAUCACUUGUCGAGAGGAUGUUCUGGCCAUUCAUUGGUAGAUAAACCUCUUGUUUCAUUGAUAUAAGCAGUUAAAUACAUCACUACUCAAAGGAUCUGUGUGCUGUUCCCACAUGGUAACCUUUAAAUCUCUUCCACAGGCCCUGAUCUGUGGAUUUAAUCAUGAACCGUGUGUCACAAUAUAUACUUCCAGUAAAAAUGUUAGUGCAACAAUUUAUGCUUCCAAGUUUCAGUAAAAAUGUUAGUUCAGGAGUAUUAGAAAACACACACGCUGCUUGUAUCGAUGCAGCUUUUCACAUGACAUCUGGUUUGCUUUGUGUUUUUGUUAUCAAAUCAAGUUGGUUGUAAGAUGUAAGCUAGUAGCAGAGUCUUGAUUACUGUGGUUCCUAAUCAGUUUUUGUUAUGUAAAACCAAUUAUCUUGUGCGUUCUCAUUUCUGAUUAUAGAUUAUAACUGCUUAUUCAUUAUGUUAUGUUCAUGACAUUAUUUUGUUAUAAAUGAACUGAUUUAUAGAUGCUACCCACUUCCCCAACAUUUUUUUGGGUGACUGCGCUUUAGUAGUUGACCUACUACUAUAAGGUUGUCUCUGUGACCCUGCUUUGGUCAGUAAAUUCAUUUGCUAAGUCUGUAUUAUGUUCACUUUAAUCACAGGUUCCACCAGUUACCUGAAUUUGACCAAGGGAAAUGUCCUGGGCUCACUAGAUGAGAAUGAACCUGACGGGGAGCCUGAUGAUGAGGACGAGGACGCUGAGGACAAUGAGGAUGAGUUUGAUUCGAAGCUGCAGAGUGUGAAGGUUGAGCAGGAUGAUUGACCAUUCUUAGGUUAAAUAUCUUUAGCGCUAACUGUUUUUUGUUGCAAUGUGCUGUAGAACUUAUGUGGUGGAUGCACUCAACCCACGCUGCAAUA